GAUGAAGAACGUAGCGAAAUGCGAUACUUGGUGUGAAUUGCAGAAUCCCGUGAACCAUCGAGUCUUUGAACGCAAGUUGCGCCCGAAGCCAUCAGGUUGAGGGCACGUCUGCCUGGGCGUCACAUAUCGUUGCUCGAUGCCUAUCGCAUUGCGAUAGGACUUAGGGCGAAUGAUGGCUUCCCGUGAGCGUUGUUGCCUCGCGGUUGGUUGAAAAUCGAGUCCUUGGUAGGGUGUGCCAUGAUAGAUGGUGGUCGAGUUAGCACGAGACCGAUCAUGGGUAACUCCACCAGAAUUGGGCUCGGUGACCCACAUGCGUCCCUUGGAUGCUCCCUAAGGAGACCUCAGGUCAGGCGGGGCUACCCGCUGAGUUUAAGCAUAUCAAUAAGCGGAGGA
rnacentral:misc_RNA from 1 species